CAAAGGUCUAAAGUGGGGUUGAACAAAGGUCUACAGUGGGGCUGAACAAAGGUCUACAGUGGGGCUGAACAAAGGUCUACAGUGGGGCUGAACAAAGGUCUACAGUGGGGCUGAACAAAGGUCUACAGUGGGGCUGAACAAAGGUCUACAGUGGGGCUGAACAAAGGUCUACAGUGGGGCUGAACGAAGGUCUACAGUGGGGCUGAACGAAGGUCUACAGUGGGGGUGAACGAAGGUCUACAGUGGGGGUGAACGAAGGUCUACAGUGGGGGUGAACGAAGGUCUACAGUGGGGGUGAACGAAGGUCUACAGUGGGGGUGAGCGAAGGUCUACAGUGGGGGUGAGCGAAGGUCUACAGUGGGGGUGAACGAAGGUCUAAAGUGGGGCUGAACAAAGGUCUAAAGUGGGGCUGAACAAAGGUCUAAAGUGGGGCUGAACGAAGGUCUAAAGUGGGGCUGAACGAAGGUCUAAAGUGGGGCUGAACGAAGGUCUAAAGUGGGGCUGAACGAAGGUCUAAAGUGGGGCUGAACGAAGGUCUAAAGUGGGGCUGAACGAAGGUCUAAAGUGGGGCUGAACGAAGGUCUAAAGUGGGGCUGAACGAAGGUCUAAAGUGGGGCUGAACGAAGGUCUAAAGUGGGGCUGAACGAAGGUCUAAAGUGGGGCUGAACGAAGGUCUAAAGUGGGGCUGAACGAAGGUCUAAAGUGGGGCUGAACGAAGGUCUAAAGUGGGGCUGAACGAAGGUCUAAAGUGGGGCUGAACGAAGGUCU